GACGAACGCUGGCGGCGUGCUUAACACAUGCAAGUCGAACGGUGAACUCCGCUUGCGGGGGGAUCAGUGGCGAACGGGUGAGUAACACGUGGGCAACCUGCCCUCAGCUCUGGGAUAACUCCAAGAAAUUGGGGCUAAUACCGGAUAUGACCGCUGACCGCAUGGUCUGGUGGUGGAAAGAUUUAUCGGCUGGGGAUGGGCCCGCGGCCUAUCAGCUUGUUGGUGGGGUAGUGGCCUACCAAGGCGACGACGGGUAGCCGGCCUGAGAGGGUGACCGGCCACACUGGGACUGAGACACGGCCCAGACUCCUACGGGAGGCAGCAGUGGGGAAUAUUGCGCAGUGGGCGAAAGCCUGACGCAGCGACGCCGCGUGGGGGAUGACGGCCUUCGGGUUGUAAACCUCUUUCAGCAGGGACGAAGCGAAAGUGACGGUACCUGCAGAAGAAGCACCGGCCAACUACGUG
rnacentral:rRNA from 1 species